GAUUCUGGCUCAGGGAUGAACGCUAGCGGCAGGCUUAACACAUGCAAGUCGAGGGGGCAGCGGGAUGUAGCAAUACAUUGCCGGCGACCGGCGGAUGGGUGCGUAACGCGUAUGCAACCUACCUUAUACAGGGGAAUAACCUUUCGAAAGGGAGACUAACACCCCAUGGUAUUGAUUUUAAGGCAUCUUAGAUUAAUUAAAUAUUUAUAGGUAUAAGAUGGGCAUGCGUAUGAUUAGCUAGUUGGUAAGGUAACGGCUUACCAAGGCGACGAUCAUUAGGGGUUCUGAGAGGAAGGUCCCCCACACUGGUACUGAGACACGGACCAGACUCCUACGGGAGGCAGCAGUGAGGAAUAUUGGUCAAUGGGCGCAAGCCUGAACCAGCCAAGUAGCGUAGAAGGACGAAGGUCCUAUGGAUUGUAAACUUCUUUUAUAGUAGAAUAAAGUGAGCCACGUGUGGUUUUUUGUAUGUAUACUAUGAAUAAGGAUCGGCUAACUCCGUGCCAGCCGCCGC
rnacentral:rRNA from 1 species